GUUGGCUGUACCAGAAGUCGGUCGCUUAACCUUCGGGAGGGCGCCGACCACGGUGUGGUAAUGACUGGGGUGAAGUCGUAACAAGGUAGCCGUAGAUGAACCUGUAGAAAGAUCA
rnacentral:rRNA from 1 species